AGGAUGAACGCUGGCGGCGUGCUUAACACAUGCAAGUCGAACGGUGAAAGAGGAGCUUGCUCCUCUGGAUCAGUGGCGAACGGGUGAGUAACACGUGAGUAACCUGCCCUUGACUCUGGGAUAAGCACUGGAAACGGUGUCUAAUACCGGAUACGACUUCCGAAGGCAUCUUCUGGAAGUGGAAAGAACUUCGGUCAAGGAUGGACUCGCGGCCUAUCAGCUAGUUGGUGAGGUAAUGGCCCACCAAGGCGACGACGGGUA
rnacentral:rRNA from 1 species